GAGGAGAGGAGAGGAGAGGAGAGGAGAGGAGAGGAGAGGAGAGGAGAGGAGAGGAGAGGAGAGGAAGAAGUCAGGGAUUCUGUCACAGAGCAAAAAGCUAGAGGUCUUCUGACUAAAUUGUGAGCUCAGGAGAGCAGAGCUGUUGUCUGUGCUGUACAGAUAAGAAGGGAAUCAGUUGAUAAGGGUUUCUUGUGACGUCAUUCCAGCAUAUACUGCCAAUCCCUCUUCCUGCCUCAGUAGUUAGAAAAAGUUUACAGAGAAACUUUUUGUCUUUACUUUCAGUAGUUGAUAAGAGUGUCUUCAAACUGCCUUGUAUGUUACUAGGAGAAAGCAACUUCACAAUGUAAAAGGACCAUAUUCAUAUAUACAUGAAUACACAUUGAGCUCACUAGAUUCUCAGUUCUAGAGGUUGUAUAUUCAAUAACACAUGCAUGCAAAUAUGCAGUCUCCUCCAAAACAGACUUUUCUCAAAGCUCAAAUGCAUGGAGAGACAUUCCACUGUCCUGUGGCACCUGGUAGAAUGAAGGCUUGCAUAUCCAACUGAUAGUAUGGAAAAUAUAAGGACAAGCCGUUAGGAGGAUGACAGCAACGACGGAUGUUAAUGAAGACCUUCCUGUAGAAGAAAAGAGAAAGAACGUGGGGAGAGGGGUGCCCUCCAGCUGAGGAGGGGACCCCGUGCGUGCGGGUGAGAUGGGGCUUAGCCCUGAAGUUUUCUAGGGUUCCCCUUGCGUGUGGGUGAAACUGGGGUGCCCUCCGGCUGAGGAGAGGACCCCGUGCGUGGAGGUGAGAUGGGGCUUAGCCCUGAAGUUUUCUAGGGUUCCCCUUGCAUGUGGGUCAAACUGGGGUGCCCUCCGGCUGAGGAGGGGACCCCGUGCGUGGAGGUGAGAUGGGGCUUAGCCCUGAAGUUUUCGAGGGUUCCCCUUGCGUGCGGGUGGAAAUGGGGUGCCCUCCAGCUGAGGAGAGGACCCCGUGCGUGGAGGGUGAGAUGGGGCUUAGCCCUGAAGUUUUCAAGGGUUCCCCUUGCGUGCGGGUGGAACUGGGGUGCCCUCCGGCUGAGGAGGGGACCCCGUGCGUGGGGUAGAAGCCCCUGGUGAAGGGGUUUCUCCCCUGAGUGUGGUUGUGUGUGUGUGUGUGUACCUGUUUCUUGUUGCAAUUUCAGGUCCACUGUCUGCUCCAUAGCCAAGGUGGCCUUGCUGUUCUUUAGGGUCUGACCCUGCUCUCGUCUUCAUGCCCGUCUUCUGUCUGACGGCCAUGUGCAGGUAUCCGAGGCUGAGCUUCUGGCUGGUGUUGCGCUUUUUCUCAGGGAUCUCCUCCUUCGCAGGCUCUCUCCGUUCCAUUUUCUCAUAUCUAGGUCAAAAGAAGUAUAAGCCCAAGUUGUUUUCUGGCAACUUGUGCGGUUCUGCUUGUUUCUUUCAGCCCGCCCCUCCCCUAUUUAUUUUCUUUCGGCUGUCAGUUACUCCUUUGCCAAUACUGGCCAAAUUAUCUGACACGCUCCACUUACAGGUUCAGCUGCCUCCAGCUCUUCUCCCCGACUUGCUUUCCCGUGCUGUGGAGGAAGGGCACGUCUCCGCAGCUGACAUCUCCCUUGGGCCUGCGCUUGCACCGAGCCGCUGCCAGAACGGGAACUGCAGGCGUCUGUUGAACAACAAAGCAAACGCCCAAGCAUUUCGGGUGUGAUGUCCCCAGCAUUCCAAGGAGAGAUUACGCAGCAGCAGCCCAAACUUCUGGAAUGGCUUCUUUCUAGGAGAGAAGCAAAGCCUUGGCGGAGCCAGAGCAGGAGCUUCUUUCCUGAAGGGAAGAGAACCUCCAGCCAUCGCUAUCCAUCUCCUCCCCGGCCAAAGGCCAAAGGCCAAAAGCCAAAGGCCAAAUCCCAAAUCCCAUAUCCCAAAUCCCCAAUCCCAAAUCCCAAAUCCCAAAUCCCCGCCUCCAUUGCUAACAUCAGAGCACAGCAAGCCGUACGUGUGCAGAAGCAUCCCAGAUUCCUAUGGCUCUGUAGCGGUGCGCUAAAGAGGGCCUCGGUCCUACAGCCUCACGGCAGGAACUUGGCAAACAAGGAGCUUCUCACGGGACUGCUCACUUGCAUCCACUGCCAUCGCAUCCACAGCCCGCAGCCCGCAGCCGUCGGGUGAAGCCCUCAAGAGUACAACGGAGGUCGAGUGCUGAAAGCACGGGAGAGUUCCCGCAGCAACUGCUGCUAACAGCAGACGCUCCCAGCAACUCCAAGGAAGCCCUGAGAGCCCCGAGCCGUG
ensembl:lncRNA